AUGAAGAACGUAGCAAAAUGCGAUAAGUAGUGUGAAUUGCAGAAUUCAGUGAAUCAUCGAAUCUUUGAACGCACAUUGCGCCCCUUGGUAUCCCGAGGGGCAUGCCUGUUCGAGCGUCAUUUCACCACUCAAGCCUGGCUUGGUGUUGGGCGACGUCCUCUUUGGGGACGCGCCUCGAAACGCUCGGCGGCGUGGCACCGGCUUUAAGCGUAGCAGAAUCUUUCGCUUUGGAAGUCGGGGCCCCGUCUGCCGGAAGACCUGCUCGCAAGGUUGACCUCGGAUCAGGCAGGGAUACCCGCUGAACUUAAGCAUAUCAAUAAGCGGAGGA
rnacentral:misc_RNA from 1 species